rnacentral:sRNA from 1 species
UGAAUAUUUUCCUUCUGAACCAGGGUUCUGCAUCCACUACAACAUUGUCAUGCCACAAUUCACAGAAGCUGUGAGUCCUUCAGUGCUACCCCCUUCAGCUUUGCCACUGGACCUGCUUAAUAAUGCUAUAACUGCCUUUCGUACCUUGGAAGACCUUAUUCGAUAUCUUGAACCAGAGAGAUGGCAGGUGGACUUAGAAGAUCUAUAUAGGCCAACUUGGCAACUUCUUGGCAAGGCUUUUGUUUUUGGAAGAAAAUCCAGAGGAGAUAAUUAUGAAAAGGAAAAAAAUCUGAAGACCAACUUUUACAAAUAUUUGGCAGAGGGAAACUUCCUUAAUAUUAUAGUUAAGCUAUUCAAAAAGUAUGCUUUGGUACAUUAUCUUUCUUUUUUCUUUUCCUUUUUCUCUUUAUUUUAUUUGCCUUUCCCCCUCUAAAAGUACUAUACAAUGUUUCAAGAAUAUAUGACAUAUGACUUAACGAAGCUUAUAUGCAUUUGAAGCCUUAGCAGUAGGCAGCAUAAAUUUCAAAAUGAAAUGCCAAAUUUAAAAUCCUUAGUUAUAUUUUUAGAAAACUGUGGACUGCAUAAAUGCUUUACUUUUUUUUCUUUCACUUUCUUCCUCUAGUUCAGGGUUUUCAUUCAUACCUUGCUACUGCUACAAAAAAAAUACUGUAUUUUCUAAGUCAAGCUUAACUAGUGCGUAAAAAGGGCUUUUGACUUUUGUGUC